rnacentral:tRNA from 1 species
GCCCAAGUGGUGGAAUUGGUAUACACGCACGACUCAAAAUCGUGUGGCGCAAGCCAUAAGAGUUCGAGUCUCUUCUUGGGCA